ACUUUUAAAAUUGGGGGAAAAGCUUUCCCUUUGUCUGUUUUGUUGUUGUUCUCUGGAGCGAGGAGACGCAGAGUGGGAACUAUGAAGUAGGAAGCUUUAAGCCAGGAGACAAGUAAACAGCUGCCUUCUCCCCAGUCUGAGGGGAACCGGUUUCUCCCUGUUGGCCACAGAUUUUAAAGCAUUAUAUCAUGAAAAGAAUUUGAAGACAGUCUUUGAUUUGGAAAGACAUCUCAACUCAAGCCUAAGAGAUUUCCAAGCAGCAAACUGGACCAAUUUUUUUCAGGGGAAAUAAAGCAGCCAUGAUAGUUUUAAGUGGCAGCCAUGAAUACUGUAUUUUUUCACAUUUUGUAUUAACUGUGGACAUUACUGCCAGUAUGCAGCUAAUAUUUCACUGUGU